GUGCGCCCACCAUUGAAGCUGAUCCACGGAAGAGAAUUAGCAACCCAAAGGCAUUGGUGAGUUGGGACAAUCCAAGGAGUUCCACCAGGAUGAUGGACGAAAGGGAGAUGUAGGCAGCUGUAAUGAAUCCCCUCUCAGGGUACCCUACCCUGGUCACCUGCACUCAGGGGUUGGUAGGUGGGUGGAAAGGAUACCUGACACUGGAGGGCCCAUGAUUCCGGCAAGUCCACGGAAGAUACACAAAACACCAAAGGCAUUGACGAGCUGCCUGAGGCCCAGUAGAUCCACUAUGAUGAUAGAGGUGAGGGCGAUGAACGGAGCUGGUGGAGAGUAUCACAGAGAGGAAUAAUUGUCUAUGAGUUUGGUGGGGUGAUUUAUAUGCAAGAUCAAUGAAAAGAGGAUUGAAUUUUUAUAUAAUGUAUUGUCUGAUAUUAUACACAGUAUUUAUGUAUACGUGAUUUCAAUGUAUUUCUUUUGUAAACAUAACACUGUAUCUUUGCAAUUAUAAAAACCAAUAUGGAUGUGAAUA